rnacentral:tRNA from 1 species
UAGCUCAGUUGGUAGAACAUCUACCUGCAAUGCAGGAGACCUAGGUUCAAUUCCUAG